rnacentral:rRNA from 1 species
UAUCUCUGUAGAGUCUGCAUAUCAAUAAGCGGAGGAAAAGAAACUAACAAGGAUUCCCUUAGUAACGGCGAGUGAAGCGGGAAGAGCUCAAAUUUGAAAUCUUCAAGGUUUUACCUUGACGAAUUGUAGUUUAAAGAAGUGUUUUCUGUUGAAGUUUCGGUAAAAGUUCUUUGGAAUAGGACAUCAUAGAGGGUGAGAAUCCCGUAUUUGACCGUUAUUUUCAGCUGUGUGAUACACUUUCAAAGAGUCGGAUUGUUUGGGAAUGCAGUCCAAAAUGGGUGGUAAAUUUCAUCUAAAGCUAAAUAUUGGCGAGAGACCGAUAGCGAACAAGUACCGUGAGGGAAAGAUGAAAAGAACUUUGAAAAGAGAGUUAAACAGUACGUGAAAUUGUCAAAAGGGAAGCGUUUGACACCAGUGUUGUUUUCUCGAAAAUCAAUUAAAAAUGGCUUGAUUUUGUGUUGUAUUGACCUUAAAAGCUUUCUGCACUUUUUUCAUGUCUUUUUUAAUGCACUUUUCGUUUAACAAGUCAACAUCAGUUUCUUUUGUUGUAAAAGAGUCAUUGGAAGGUGGCUUUCACUUCGGUGAAAGUGUUUAUAGCCUUUGACUUCUGCAAUCGGAGAGAUUGAGGUCUGCAGCGCAGAUCCUUCGGGGUUAGAUACAUUUGUGCUAAGUUAUAGUUUUUCAUAGACAACAUGUUGACUAUGAUUAAUCAUGUAGCUUACUCGCUUAUGCUAUUUUACCUACGCUUAGGAUGUUG